rnacentral:misc_RNA from 1 species
UUUCCGUAGGUGAACCUGCGGAAGGAUCAUUAUUGUAUAACCGAGGUGCGAGGGCUGUCGCUGACCCGAAAGGUCGUGCACGCCCGAGUGCCCUCACACACAUCCACCUCACCCCUAUGUGCACCACCGCGUGGGUCCCCCUUUGGCUUGUUCGGAGGGGGGCUUACGUUUUCACACAAACUUUGUAUGCAGUAUAGAAUGUAUUUUUUGUUUUUGCGAUCACGCAAUCAAUACAACUUUCAACAACGGAUCUCUUGGCUCUC